rnacentral:pre_miRNA from 1 species
CGCUAAAGGUCGUGAUCUUUAGCGGCGUUUGUGGGAAAAGCGCCGCUAAAGGUCGCGGUCUAUACCGGCGUUUGUGGGGAAAACGCCGCUAAAGGUCGCGGUCUAUAGCGG